GCCCUGGUAGCUCAAUUGGCUAGAGCGUGGGACUUUUACAAUUGACUCUUCUCAGCUAAAAUCUGGAGGACGAUAGCUAGUAAUCCCAAGGUUGCGGGUUCGACCCCCGCCUGGGGCG